CCUUUUCACCCUCUCUAGCAGACGUGACAGUGUUUCUCUCUCGUCCUUCACCAUCUCCGAAGUCUGCACGUUGCUUCUUGAGUAGUUGAGUUAAUCUAUUGCUCUCGUCUACCGUCUGCAUAGUGCUAGUCAUCGCCCGUCGUCGUCGAAACUCUACGGUUCUAGAAGGUGUUAUCGAGUAUAGAUGGAAUGCUUUGCCUGUUGAACAACGAGAUGGCAUGAAAAACUAUGUUUUUGAAGUUAUAGUUAAGCUGCAAAAACAAGUGACGAGAUCUCUAUAUGUGAGAAUUGCAUGGCUACACUGAAAGUGAGGCAGUAAUCCCAUAUAUCCUUGGUUUUUUGGGAAUAUGUACAUGCAGUUGACAUAGAUGUUACUUGUCAGCUUCUAAGUGAAGAGGUCUUUGACUUUUCAAGAGGUGAAAUGACUCAGUGGAAGAUUAAAGAGUUGAAACAAUCACUAAACAGGUUACAAUUUAGUUGAUGAUGAUGCUGGACGAAUAGCUGCUUAUAAUAAACCGAAGCAUAGGGCUUUGUGAUUGGCCUAUAAU